rnacentral:misc_RNA from 1 species
AAAAAAUGGAAAACAUACAUUAAAAUUAUGAAGGAUCACUUUGUCAUUAGAAAUUGGUGUGCCACUUGGCACAAACAUAACUACAAAGUGUGUUAUUUGGCAUUACUUGGCACACUCUACAGAUUACACAUGGCAGCUUCUUACUAACAUAUUUUAAAUACCAGAGCUUGCUGAAUUGAGCUAUAGAGAUGUGUCAACACUUGAGCUGUUGAACUUGAAUGUUUCCCCAAGCUGAUAGUUUCAUGCUUUUAGUACUGGUAAUAGCUGUGGCCCGUAGAGAGGUGUCAACAAGCAGCAUUAGCACUUCCAUCUUCUAUUACUUAUGACGGGCAGUAAUAGCUAUUUACAAAUUUUCUUAGUUGUAGAAAUGUAGUUGCAGCAGUAUGAGAUGAUGAGAUAUCAAUUAAUUUAUAGGAAUCAGUUCUUUUAUUCAGAAAUAUGUAUUUUCUUCAAUUUCUCAGUCAUCUUCUUUGCCGCCUCUUCUAUCUUUGCUCUAUCAGCUCCCCCACUUCCAGCAUACUUAGCCUUGAAAACUUUCACCUCAUCGUCUGUCAAUUUCUUAAAUAAUGGAUAUGGCUUCUCAAUUUUUUGACCAGCAGGAAUAAGUUCCCAAGGUUUUUGUACCCUCUCAAGAUCUUUUUCUUCCCAAAGUGAAAAUGUUGUUUCAGGAGGCAGCUUAAGCAGCUUGAACACCUUUAGUCUCACACGAAAACAGAAAUAUCUUGUGAAACAUUGGAUAAAUUUAUCACAAUCUAAGAUUGUCCAUAAUGCAGGCCUUAAUUCAUACCUUAACAGAAAAUGAUGGCAUGAAAGGUUCUAACAAACAUGCAAGAAGAUAAACCAGCCCCACUGAAGUUUUCACAAUAAUAGAGCAGGAAGCUUGAUCUUCCUCGUACAUCCUAAAAUAUUGGCUCUCCUACAUGCCAUGUUUAAGAUUUCAGCAAGUGAUUUAAAGAUGGCCAGAACAAUCAGUAAUUAUAUCAAUGAAACAUAUAAAGCUUUUACAAGCUUACUUGCAGAUAUGCAUUUCCUUCACCAGAAAUGUUCAUUGCACAUUUCAAUCCUUGUUUUAGCUUAACCUACAUGACCUCAGAGCACAUAUGUUUAUUUCGUUGGUAAAAGAAUCUAGCACAGAAUAGUGAAGUCACAGAACAGUGAAUGAAACCACCUGCUCCAUGGAUUUUACAUAUUGGUCCACCUGGUUACCAACUUUUUCUGCCAAUGCUACUGUCAAGGCAUGUGAAUCUGCCCCUGGAGCAUCAGGAAUGACAGCUUCAUAUCCUUUUCCUGCAGAAAAUUAUAGUUCAAACAUUUAGUGAUAAACAACAGAAGAAAGUAAAGAAUCAAAUACUGAAGGAAAUAAAGAUGUUAAGUCCAAACAGCACUAUCCUUCGGUAAUACUAUAGCUAUACCAAAGGAUAAUGUAGCCAAACCCAAGUAUAACACAAACGCAUGCUCUGAAGAUAUGUGAUCUGUCCAUAGAAAUAGGAAAAGACAGCUAGGGGGCCAGCUAUACUGGCUUCUGGAUUCUUCUAGAAACCAAGCACUGGUGUAGGGAGCAAAUAAAAGUAAAUAUAUAAGAUGGACAGGGUUCCCAGGUAAGAUUAUUCUUUCUAAUUCCCAUUCUCUCCUAGCUAUGAGCCCUGUGACUCACUUUACCAUCCAAGUGUGAAUGCCAGAGACACUUCCAGUGUCACACUAACUCUUCCUCUUCUCUGCAGGGUUCAGAUCAGAAGUCUGGGACACAUCAAAAGAUUUACAAGCCAAAAGAUACUCAAUGAGGUCUCUAUUGUGUGCCAAUGCCUAAAAGAAACUGAAGAACUAGAGAGGCAUGAGUAAAAACAUAGAACAUAAAUUAUUAAACCUUAAAAUCCCAUUAAACUUGCUAACAAAGUAAUGCUAGAUAAAAAAUGUCCUAUUCAUUCCCAUGUAGAAUCUAAUAAACUUAGAGAGAUCUUGCAACAUACAUAAGAAAUGUUGAAGCAUGUUUCUUGACAUUUUUUUUUUUUGAGUUAGCGAAUGGGGGAGUGGGGAC